rnacentral:rRNA from 1 species
UACGUAGGGUGCAAGCGUUAAUCGGAAUUACUGGGCGUAAAGCGUGCGCAGGCGGUGAUGUAAGACAGAUGUGAAAUCCCCGGGCUUAACCUGGGAACUGCAUUUGUGACUGCAUAGCUAGAGUACGGUAGAGGGGGAUGGAAUUCCGCGUGUAGCAGUGAAAUGCGUAGAUAUGCGGAGGAACACCGAUGGCGAAGGCAAUCCCCUGGGCCUGCACUGACGCUCAUGCACGAAAGCGUGGGGAGCAAACAGG